rnacentral:lncRNA from 1 species
CACACACACUCUCUGAGCAUAAGCUGCUAGCCAGACUCCCUCUCCCCAUUUUCUGCCAACAUUUCAGAUACUUCCUUGAGGUCUGUUCUCAGAGCUCCUGACAAUUUGUGGUGUUUAGUGACAGAACUGUUACUUUCACAUUUCUUGCUGUUUUAAUGAGACUAUCUGUAGCUAAGAAAAGUGACAUGGUGGCUGGUCCCCUCCCUGGCUCACUGCUGGUCAGCAUUGCCCUUGCUACUUCCAGCCUGCCCUGAAUAUUCCCAUCUCUGCCCAAUAGCGACUACCGAUUUUCUCAAGAUUUGGAGGAUAUGAAAUUUACUCAUCUUAGAAGAGAACUGGACAUCGUAAACCAAAAAAGAUAUUUUAAACAGUCAACAUUUAACCCAAAGGAAUACAUCUUUAAUGCCAUGUAGGGCAUGCCUCCUUCUUCUUUGCCUUCUGCCAUGAUAGUAAGUUUCCUGAAGACUCCCAGCCAUGCCUCCUGUACAGCCUGGGGAACUGUGCAAUAAGCACAAUGAUCAGUCAUUUCUGAGCCAGCUCCUUUACUUGAUAUCACUCCAUUAAAAGUCAGGCCAUCCAUCCUGACAUAUGCAGAUUUGAAGAUGAUGUGGGAGAGGAAAGAAAGGGCGAGGAAAUUUAUGUUCUAUCCUCAGAAGCUGACUCACGGACCAAGCAGGUAGAACUAAGGGGUCUUUCCACAGCAAACCUGAGAAAUACUGACAUAAAAAUAUCUCUGGACUGGACCCAAGAUUCAGAAGAACUGCAUUCAAGCCCCAGCUUCACCAAAAUACCAUCCUCUGCUACACAGAAGCUGCCCCUCGGGCAAAGUCUCAAAGGAGAGGUACAAGAGGGACAGGGAAGCUGCAAGGCGGGAAGCAAACCCCUAGCGGAGAGAACAGUCUAUGCUACCAUGACAAAGAGGCAUUAAUCAGCUUGGUGCUGGGUAACUUCAAGUGGCUUCGUGUUGCUGGAGCGUUGGAUACGUCAAACACCAAGGACAAAGCACGAGAGGGGAGCACAAUAAAACUACUGUCUGCCUAAGACCUGCUCCUGUCUGCCACAGAGCCCUUUGAAAGCCUGGUUGAGUUGGGCUUUCUUCUGUAAGUCUGCAGUCUUUAAAUUUACUCUGUUCAUUACCCGCUAAAUCACUGAAAAUCUGUCUGCCUGAUGUCUGCAACUUACUUUGAACUGCAUGGAAGAACAACGUGGGUUUAUGGAUACGUAGAUGAAUAGCUAGGUAAAAAGAUAUGCAAUAAGGCAAAUAUAUUGAAAAGUUUAGCCAGGCACGGUGGCUCAUGCCUGUAAUCCCAGCACUUUGGGAGGCUGAGGCGGGCAGAUCACCUGAGGUCGGGAGUUCAAGACCAGCCUGACCAACAUGGAGAAACCCCAUGUCUACUAAAAAUACAAAAUUAGCCUGGCAUGGUAGUACAUGCCUGUAAUCUCAGCUACUCAGGAGGCUGAGGCAGGAGAAUUGCUUGAACCUGGGAGGCAGAGGUUGCAGUGAGCCAAGAUCGUGCCAUUGCACUCCAGCCUGGGCAACAACAGCAAAACUCCAUUUCCAAAAGCAAAGUUUAUAGACUCUCAAUGGUGCAUAUGUGAAAGUUCACUAUACAAUUCUUUGAUCCUCUCUGUAUUUUUAAACUUUUUUUCAUCAUAAAAAUGUUAUGGGAGAAAACACUAUAUGCCUGUCAUCUAUUUAAGGUUUUUCAUCACAGGUUUACUUUUUUUUAGACAAAAGGACAUAGAAAAUGUUAAACAUUUUAUAAAAUGAAAUAAGAUGAGAAUUGACUAUUUAAGAAACAAGUAUUACAUUUUAGGUAUCAAAAAAUCAAUUUUUAACUACCUUGCUAUAAAGCACACUGAAUCUGAGAGAAAUCAUAUAAAUUAUUUAUCCUUAGUUUUUAUACAAUUAUCUUGAAAAUGUGAUACUCUUCCAGAACACUCCAGUUACAUUUGAAAGAAUCAUAAUCAUUAAGCUUUACCAUUCCAUCUGGUUUGUAUUCAGACCAUCCCAACUCCAGCCAAAUCCAAGCUCUACCCUUAACGGAGAGAUGUAUAAGACAGGAAACACAGGAAGCCCAAUGGGAUCAAGGUGUCACAAAAACAAGAAAACUUCCCUAAAAACCAAGAUUUCUGGCCAGGCGUGGUGGCUCACACCUGUAAUCCCAGCACUUUGGGAGGCCGAGGCAGGCCAAUCACCUGAGGUCAGGAGUUCGAGACCAGCCUGGCCAACAUGGUGAAACCCCGUCUCUACAAAAGAUACAAAAUUAGCCGGGUGUCAUGGUACAUGCCUGUAAUCCCAGCUACUCCGGAGACUGAGGCAGGACAAUCACUUAGAACCCAGGAAGUGGAGUGAGCAGAGAUCACGCUACUGUGCUCCAGCCUAGGUGAUAGAGCGAGUCUCGGUCUCAAAAAAAUAAAUAAAAUAAAACCAA